rnacentral:rRNA from 1 species
UACCUUUUGUAUAAUGGGUCAGCGACUUAUAUUCUGUAGCAAGGUUAACCGUAUAGGGGAGCCGCAGGGAAACCGAGUCUUAAUUGGGCGUUAAGUUGCAGGGUAUAGACCCGAAACCCGGUGAUCUAGCCAUGGGCAGGUUGAAGGUUGGGUAACACUAACUGGAGGACCGAACCGACUAAUGUUGAAAAAUUAGCGGAUGACCUGUGGCUGGGGGUGAAAGGCCAAUCAAACCGGGAGAUAGCUGGUUCUCCCCGAAAGCUAUUUAGGUAGCGCCUCGUGAAUUCAUCUCCGGGGGUAGAGCACUGUUUCGGCUAGGGGGCCAUCCCGGCUUACCAACCCGAUGCAAACUGCGAAUACCGGAGAAUGUUAUCACGGGAGACACACGGCGGGUGCUAACGUCCGUCGUGAAGAGGGAAACAACCCAGACCGCCAGCUAAGGUCCCAAAGUCAUGGUUAAGUGGGAAACGAUGUGGGAAGGCCCAGACAGCCAGGAUGUUGGCUUAGAAGCAGCCAUCAUUUAAAGAAAGCGUAAUAGCUCACUGGUCGAGUCGGCCUGCGCGGAAGAUGUAACGGGGCUAAACCAU